UAACCUUAAAGCUGCUUUACUGUUGACAUUUCACGAUGACAGACGUCUGCGAACCUUCAUGAACACGUGUGUGUGCUCGCGGCACGUGACUGCAGCGUGGCGUUAACGGACCGGACGCAGCUGUGGCUCGACUGGAGAUCUGGACACGGGCUCGUCUCCGACGCAUUUUCAGAGGAAACUCCUCCGUCGCCGUCCUGAACUCGGGCGCUCGGCUCGGCCGUGUCUGUUAGCGCACAAAGCCCCCUGACGGCGCGGCAGCCGAGGGAAAGUGGAUUAGGUUUAAUAGGUGUGUAGCAAACGGGACGAGCCGCAGUGGGGCGGCGGGAAAAACGCCAACGCUUCAUAAUUGAGAGACGGCCGAUGGAGCUGACUCUGCGGGAGCCGAAUUAAACAGGGAAAUGGGCUGAAGCUCGAAGAGCAGAUAGUGAAGAGGCAUCUCUUACAUCCAAACAUCACGUGCAGUCUCACUGUCAGGACUGGAUCAGCUUCAGAGUAAAUAAAGAGCUGCUUUCGACUGGGAGAGAAUGUCAAUUAGUUUGCGCAGGUGAGAACACAGCAACGUCCGACCAAAACAACCGCUCCGAGACCACGAGAUCACCGGCAGCGUGACGCGAUUCCCUCCUGAAUCCCCCGGCUAGAGGACAGGGAGAGGCGCUGUGCGUUGUCGCCGCUCUGUAGAUCUGAGCUGCUAAACUGAGCUGAAGGACAGACGCUGUGGCAACGUGUCACAUUCUGAAGAACAAAAAGUGCAAAUAAACAACAAAACGCAAUAAACAGCAUGUUUCAAACUCGUCAUGUCUAUAAUUAUCUAGUCGUACUCCGAGCGCAGCUCUGUGCUCGCUGUGUUGCGCUGGUGUUUAUGAUUUCUACACACACUUGCCAAAGGUUUGUUUACUUUUUUCCCGUCGUUGUUACAGAGAGGAAACAAAUCAAACCAAAACAGCAAACGAACAGAAAGGAUCAUGUAGUCGACGUACACGGCGAUGAGUAACAUUUUACAUUCAACCCUCACAGAUAAACUGUUUACAGAGACAUGAAACGUAACCGUAAUGCCUGUUUCUUCUACAGAAAAAUACCGUAAGUCAAUACAAAUUCAUUUUAUAUAACAAAAAAUAAAGACAGAACAGCGGAAAGGAGAAAAAAAAGACUGAAGCGAGUGAAGAGGAGGAAACAGAAAAUAGAAAAUAACCUGAUGUCUGUAUUUGAGGUAAAUAUUUGGAGUCUUUGGAUGUUGUUGAUUGCGGAGAUUGGCUGAGAAGAACGAUAAGAUAAUAACUGCCUGAUAUUAAUCUGUAGACUCUACCGUUUAUCAGUCAGUGAAAUGAGAGAAACAUGGACACAAUCUGUGAUAUACACAACACUCACGGAUAAAAACACCAUGUGACAGGCGGUGAACUUCUGGAAACACGUGUACACGGCGCUGUGCGUGUGAAGUUGAUGAAAACACUCGCAGGAAAGAAACAGCUCUUAUUAUCUCUACAGUUUCUCCGAGACAGUAAUGAGAUGAAACGAAAGUAACAGCGAGACGUCUGAUGGAGUCUCCUGUCUCACGGCUUUCUCUCCUGAGCUGAAACACGUCAGUAAUCUCAACAAAGUCACACACACUGAUCUCAGAGCUGCUGAUUGAAUGAUGUGUUAAGUUCAGGGAGUGUAUUAAUGCGUAUGUGGAGAGAUGUACAGGUUACGUUUUAUCAGCUUUUAUUAGCUUCUCUAAGUACACUAGG